AGGCCUCGUAAGGGCAAUCCCCAGAAAGAGCUGAAUCAGCUCACAUCCCCUCCAUGCCAGGGCAAAGUCAAACACAGGCACCUCCCACACCUGGGAACUUUGGCCGAGACCCUGAGAUUAGCUCAGACAGAAGAUGGCGGGGGGAGAGCACACAGCCUGGCAGGAAAGCAAUUGGGUCAUGAGGUUGGUGCAGACACAACAGCGUAGCGUGCUCCGUCCCUGUGAGCUGGGUGAGCGGACAUGGAUCGGUGAGAACGAAGGUGAAUGGCAGUAGUCACUGGUCAGUAGCCUAGGACUGUCUCCAGACCAAUCCAGGACUGUCCUCUCAGCACAUCCCAGGAAUGUCACCAUCAAAGCCCAGGGCUGUGUGUCACAGCUCAGUACUGUCCUUCAUGCUUCAGGGCUGCCCCAUAUCACAGCCCAGGAAGGGUCCUCCUCAUAAUGCAGUGCUUUGUCUCAGCCAGGGGCUGUCCCUAUCACAGCCCCAAACUGUCCUGGUCAUGGCCCAGGAUCGAUCCCAUCGCAUGCAGAGCUGUCCUGGGGAGAGCCCAUGGCUCUCCCAUUACAGACCAAGACUUCCCUAGGGCAGCUGGAGAGGAUCUCCACCAUCACAACCUCAAGCUGUCCCUGCCCCAGUGCAGGGCUUUCACACCGCAGUCCAGAAGUGUCGCCAUCAAAGCCCAGAUCGUCCCAGUCAGAGCUCAGCCUCAGUCACCAAGACUCCGAAAAGAAGAAGAAGAAAAAAAAUCUGCCCUGUUCUCCAUCAGGCUGGGGCAGAGACUGUUCCCUAAAAUCAUAGCCUCCCAAACUCUGCUGGUGGACCUCUUACGGGUAAUGAUCUCAGGAUCCUGACACCCAGCUCCGCACAAGCACGAAGUCAGUUUGGGAUUCUCUGCCUCUCCCUCCCCUUCUGCUCCAUUACCAGGCUCGCACACGCGCAUGCGCUCUCUCUCAUAAAUAAAUAUCUAAAACAAAUA